rnacentral:rRNA from 1 species
UGGGGAAUAUUGGACAAUGGGGGGAACCCUGAUCCAGCCAUGCCGCGUGUGUGAAGAAGGCCUUAUGGUUGUAAAGCACUUUAAGCGAGGAGGAGGCUACUUUAGUUAAUACCUAGAGAUAGUGGACGUUACUCGCAGAAUAAGCACCGGCUAACUCUGUGCCAGCAGCCGCGGUAAUACAGAGGGUGCGAGCGUUAAUCGGAUUUACUGGGCGUAAAGCGUGCGUAGGCGGCUUAUUAAGUCGGAUGUGAAAUCCCCGAGCUUAACUUGGGAAUUGCAUUCGAUACUGGUGAGCUAGAGUAUGGGAGAGGAUGGUAGAAUUCCAGGUGUAGCGGUGAAAUGCGUAGAGAUCUGGAGGAAUACCGAUGGCGAAGGCAGCCAUCUGGCCUAAUACUGACGCUGAGGUACGAAAGCAUGGGGAGCAAACAGG